rnacentral:rRNA from 1 species
UGGGUAAUAUUGCACAAUGGGGGAAACCCUGAUGCAGCGACGCCGCGUGAGCGAAGAAGGCUUUCGAGUCGUAAAGCUCUGUCCUAUGAGAAGAUAAUGACGGUAUCAUAGGAGGAAGCCCUGGCUAAAUACGUGCCAGCAGCCGCGGUAAUACGUAUGGGGCGAGCGUUGUCCGGAAUUAUUGGGCGUAAAGGGUACGUAGGUGGUUUUUUAAGUCAGGUGUCAAAGCGUGGAGCUUAACUCCAUUAAGCACUUGAAACUGAAAGACUUGAGUGAAGGAGAGGAAAGUGGAAUUCCUAGUGUAGCGGUGAAAUGCGUAGAUAUUAGGAGGAAUACCGGUGGCGAAGGCGACUUUCUGGACUUUUACUGACGCUCAGGUACGAAAGCGUGGGGAGCAAACAGG